CCUACGGGGGUCAGCAGUGGGGAAUAUUGGACAAUGGGGGGAACCCUGAUCCAGCCAUGCCGCGUGUGUGAAGAAGGCCCUCGGGUUGUAAAGCACUUUCAGUGAGGAAGAACGCCUGGUGGUUAAUACCCAUCAGGAAAGACAUCACUCACAGAAGAAGCACCGGCUAACUCCGUGCCAGCAGCCGCGGUAAUACGGAGGGUGCGAGCGUUAAUCGGAAUUACUGGGCGUAAAGCGCGCGUAGGUGGCUUGAUAAGCCGGUUGUGAAAGCCCCGGGCUCAACCUGGGAACGGCAUCCGGAACUGUCAAGCUAGAGUGCAGGAGAGGAAGGUAGAAUUCCCGGUGGAGCGGUGAAAUGCGUAGAGAUCGGGAGGAAUACCAGUGGCGAAGGCGGCCUUCUGGACUGACACUGACACUGAGGUGCGAAAGCGUGGGUAGCAAACAGGAUUAGAUACCCGGGUAGUC
rnacentral:rRNA from 1 species